UACGUAGGGAUCAAGCGUUGUUCGGAUUUACUGGGCGUAAAGGGCGCGUAGGCGGCAAUUCAAGUCAUCUGUGAAAUCUCCGGGCUUAACUCGGAAUGGUCAGGUGAUACUGCUUUGCUAGAGUGCAGAAGGGGCAAUCGGAAUUCUUGGUGUAGCGGUGAAAUGCGUAGAUAUCAAGAGGAACACCUGAGGUGAAGACGGGUUGCUGGGCUGACACUGACGCUGAGGCGCGAAAGCGUGGGGAGCAAACAGG
rnacentral:rRNA from 1 species